CCUACGGGACGCAGCAGUGGGGAAUAUUGCGCAAUGGGCGAAAGCCUGACGCAGCGACGCCCCGUGAGGGAUGAAGGUCUUCGGAUCGUAUACCUCUGUCAGCAGGGAAGAACGGUCACUGUGCUAAUCAGCAGUGAAUUGACGGUACCUGCAAAGGAAGCACCGGCUAACUCCGUGCCAGCAGCCGCGGUAAUACGGAGGGUGCGAGCGUUAAUCGGAAUUACUGGGCGUAAAGCGCUCGUAGGCGGUAUGUCAAGUCAAGGGCGAAACCCCGUCGCUCAACGCGG
rnacentral:rRNA from 1 species